CACCGCGGUUACACGGAAGGCCUAAGUUGAUAGAUUUCGGCGUAAAGAGUGGUUAAGAAUUUUAUAAAAGUAAAGUAGAACCCUUUCAAAGCAGUUAUACGCAUUUGAAUUGUGAACCCCAUCAACGAAAGUGGCUUUAUACCUCUGAUUCCACGAAAGCUAAGAAA
rnacentral:rRNA from 1 species